rnacentral:tRNA from 1 species
AUUAGGUUGGCAGAUUAGUGCAUUUAAUUUAGAAUUAAAAUAAAAAUUUAUAUUUACUUAAUA